GUACGGUAAUACCAUCUUCAUCUGCAAGGUGCUGGUGGGCCUCACCGCGCGUGGCGACAAAGAAACUAUCAGACCUCCGAAAGACAAAUCCAACCGUCGUGCUGACACCACGGUUGACAAUCCGGCCAAACCCACUAUAUUCGUCAAGUAUGAUGAGCAACACUACUACCCGGAGUACUACGCACUCUUUUGAGAGAACAACACAAAACGCGGCAGUCACGAACUCAGUUCACGCCGACUACGUCCCGCCUCCUGAUCCAGCGGACCAAGGGUCGGGUCCGCUGGAUGCUCAGCCCAGAUAUGAACCCACGGUCAUCCUUCAAGCCUAUAUCAGUUAAAUUUUUUCUUAAAUUAAUUCAGGAAAUAUGUAGAUAUUAUUGAAGACAGAUUGGUGCACGAUGAAAUCUUGAGUAGUACUUAUCGCUUAUUUCAUAUAGCAGCAUGGUUCAUCGGAGUUAGUGAUUUUUCUCUUUCCCUGGUCAUUGAUAACGCGUUAUCCUCUCUGUAAAUAAGUGAUUAUUUUCGGAGAUUGCACAAACUUAUAAGUUCGCCAAAUCUAUCGUUAGUCUAUUCUGGUCUCAUAAUAUGCCGUCUAAAUAUAAUAAUCAUGUGAAGGCAGGAGCUAAAGAAUCAAACACUCUUUUUUAAUUUAGUUGCCCGUAAUAUGAUCUACGAGUAU